rfam:Folsomia candida strain VT population Fcan01_Sc001, whole genome shotgun sequence.
GGCUCAAUGGUUUAGGGGUAUAAUUCCCGCUUUGGGUGCGGGAGGUCCCGGGUUCGAAUCCCGGUUGAGCCC